rnacentral:rRNA from 1 species
AUUGAACGCUGGCGGCAUGCUUUACACAUGCAAGUCGGACGGCAGCACAGAGAAGCUUGCUUCUUGGGUGGCGAGUGGCGAACGGGUGAGUCAUAUAUCGGAACGUACCGAGUAAUGGGGGAUAACUAAUCGAAAGAUUAGCUAAUACCGCAUAUUCUCUGAGGAGGAAAGCAGGGGACCUUCGGGCCUUGCGUUAUUCGAGCGGCCGAUAUCUGAUUAGCUAGUUGGUGGGGUAAAGGCCUACCAAGGCGACGAUCAGUAGCGGGUCUGAGAGGAUGAUCCGCCACACUGGGACUGAGACACGGCCCAGACUCCUACGGGAGGCAGCAGUGGGGAAUUUUGGACAAUGGGCGCAAGCCUGAUCCAGCCAUGCCGCGUGUCUGAAGAAGGCCUUCGGGUUGUAAAGGACUUUUGUCAGGGAAGAAAAGGCUGUUGCUAAUAUCGACAGCUGAUGACGGUACCUGAAGAAUAAGCACCGGCUAACUACGUG